AGAGUUUGAUCAUGGCUCAGGAUGAACGCUGGCGGCGUGCUUAACACAUGCAAGUCGAACGGAGAUACUUUAAGCUUGCUUAGUUGUAAUCUUAGUGCGGACGGGUGAGUAACGCGUGGGCAACCUGCCUUAUACCGGGGGACAACAGCUGGAAACGGCUGCUAAUACCGCAUAAGCGCACAGUAUCGCAUGAUACAGUGUGAAAAACUCCGGUGGUAUAAGAUGGACCCGCGUCUGAUUAGCUAGUUGGCGGUGCAACGGACCACCAAGGCGACGAUCAGUAGCCGGCCUGAGAGGGCAAACGGCCACAUUGGGACUGAGACACGGCCCAAACUCCUACGGGAGGCAGCAGUGGGGAAUAUUGCACAAUGGAGGAAACUCUGAUGCAGCCGACGCCGCGUGAGUGAAGAAGUAUUUCGGUAUGUAAAGCUCUAUCAGCAGGAAAGAAAAUGACGGUACCUGACUAAGAAGCCCCGGCUAACUACGUGCCAGCAGCUGC
rnacentral:rRNA from 1 species